GCGUUCGUGGUGCAGUGGUUUAGCAUUCUGGCCUCCCAAGCCAGGGACCUGGGUUCGAACCCCGGCGGACGCA
rnacentral:tRNA from 1 species